ensembl:lncRNA
AUGCUUUUAUCUUGCAGUGAAAGGCGUCUGAGAAGAUUAAUAAAAUCAAGUGAGCCACAGAGAUGGCAUCGUCCAAGAGCACAGGGAGUACAUCCAGAGGCAGUGAGUGAACUUCUUGUCCUGAAACCAAAAUCAGUUGGGAAUACUGGAAUCAAGUCUACCCUACACAAGGCUUACACAGGUCCCCUUCCAGAUGCUGAUGUCUUGGCUUCUGGUGCAAAACUAAGUCAGAUUAAUCCCAAGCCUUUGCUGGCACACAUACUUGAUGGCAUGUCAAAAGUAGAGUUGGUCCCCUCACAAUUCAGUCCUGUACCUCAUGGCAAUCCACUUUCAUACCAAUGUCUCCCUAUAGCUGCAGGUGUUCCUGAUGUUAAUUUUCCCCCACUACCUGUGCUUGGUUAUCAGUUUGGCUGUAAUUUUAAAUUUGUGCCCACACACCAUCAAGCACUUCAUCUGGAGUCUAUAAAGGUUACCCAUAGUUCAGCUUGCCAGAUUGAAGAGGCCAAAAGACUACAGUCAAAAAUGCACUGCUCAGGUUCCAUUUAUGAAAAAUUCAAAGAGGACUAGCCAAACUUAAAGUGACCCAUAAGUACUACUGGCAGGUACAACGUCAGCUUGCAGUUACUGGUCUACAUUGGUGUGACUUUGUGAGCGACACAAAAUCAGAUUUCACAAUAAAGAGGAUCUGGCGACAUGAUGCCUUCAUAGCAUCAAUGAAAGACAAGCUACACAUGUACUAUUAUAACUUUUUUAUGGAUUUGUAUCUUUCAGUGGUAUGAAUGGGCAGAUUCUGUUCAUAUUAUAGUAUAAACUUAAGAUUUAUUUUUACAUUAAUAAUAAGUAUAUAUUUUAUGUAGUUGAGUAGUAUGUAGCAUAUUUUGUAGUAGAUCUUUUGUAACAUAUUAGAUACAUCACAAAUUAUAACAUUAAAUAUAUAGUACUUGCUAUUAAUUAGAUGUAAAUAUGUACAUACCAAGGUGAAUACAUUGUUUUGUAUUAGAUCUUCUGUAAUGUAUAUGAUAUGCAUACACAUAGUUGUAUAUUUUUUCAAUUGUGAAAUAACAAUGAACACCAGAAUGGACUUUUUUUUUCAUGAAUUAUUAUAAAAAGACUUUUCAUUGUCAACUAUUUCAUUGUGUCUGUCAAAUUAUUUUCGGGGAAAUUUUAUAUAAAUAAUUUCAAUAUACAUAAGAUAAAAUUUUCUUUUCAAUAAAAAGUAAAAACUAAACUAAAAAUAAAUAAGUAAAAACACGUUUAAUGAUGGUAAGUAGUAUUAAAGGUAUGUACUGCAACUAACUGAAAAAGUAACAAAAAAAGUAUUUUAAAAAAACUACUACCAAAAGUUAACACUAAAACACUACUAUUGUAAUAAUCACAGUCAUUCUAAAAAAUGUAAUAUACUAAUAUACAUUCACUGCUCAAGAAACAUUGGUCCCUGAUAGUUAACCAUAAAACAGCAAUUAUGCCAGAUCUGAUUAAUACUUCCUGACAAGGUGAGUGGCACAACAGAAUCCCAGAUGUGGAACCUUCUAAUCACCCUUUCCACCAGAAUUCUGGGGCGUGCAAUGGCCUGUGUUUUUUCACAGUCCUGUUUGCUGAACUGCUUGGCACAUUUGAAAGGUGGAAUGAUCGGUCUAGCACCAACACUGGAGAGCAUAUCUUCAAUAGUGAACCCCUUGUCUGCCAUGACCACAUCUCCAGGCUCAAGCAGGUCCAAAAUGACGGAUUUCUUCGUGAUUUCUUUGUCAGAGAUUGAACCGGUGUAGAUAAAAGUCACUGCACCACAUGGAGCUACCCCAACCAGACCUUUGAAUGUGGUAGUGCUCUUGUAACUGGAGAAGAUCUCAGAGUGGAGUAUCAGUGAUGUAGGGCUUUCACAGCGGAUUUCUGUGCAGUCCAGGAUGACAUGCAGGUUUGGAUUGAACAAAUGGUAAUUCUCUGGCAUGGAGGAGCUUAUUUGUUGCCUGGACAUCUAAAUGGGUACUGAACCCGGGUAAUUAGCCCAGGUGAUAAUGGUCCUGCUCACCGUAGCCAUGCUUACCCCGAAAAUGUCAGCGAUAACUUGAUUGACUGAAACAAACAAAUAUAUAUUUAGUUAUAAGACAGAACCAUUGUUUUUGCAAAAUCAUUUAAUUCAACAACUAGUGUUAGACACAUACAGGUAUAUUAUAAUUAGACUAAGAUUUCAAUCUAAUAGCUCGAAAGAAUUUGCUUUACCUUGACGUAAAGUGACCAUGGUUUUAUUAUAGUAAAAGUGUAGUAAUAUGUUUUUUUUUAGUGUAAUGAUUACCAUUUGUAUAACCACAGUUUAACUACAAACACCAUGGUUAAACUAUGGUUAGUAUAGCAAAACCAUGGUUAAUCUGUGGAUACCAUGAUUUAACUAUAUCAUCCAGGGUUUUUUUUUUUUUUUUUCUGGUAGUAAAACCAUGGUUAUUUUUCGUAAGGGUAAUUUUACUACACUUUGCCAAAAUAAAAGCUCGCUAGUUGCAAUAUAGCUAACUAACAUUUUAAACGUGCACACAAGACUCUCGAAAUGCAUGUUCUCUUCCGUAUAUAACUUAAUUAGUGUAACAUUUGAAUAAAACUGUUAAAAUAUAAUAUAUCAGACGCUGCUACCUCCUUUUGCCAUCAAUCAACCGUUAUAUACCACUUCCUCUGAACCGCGUGCGUGUGACGUCACCUAGGGCGGGGCAACGCGAUACUCCACCUGAGUCCGUUUCGUCUGAUGCCUUUUUUUCCUGAGUCCGUUUCGUCUGAUGCCUUUUUUCCUGAGUCCGUUUCGUCUGAUGCCUAAUUGUAUGAGACCUGACACCUGACGUCCUUUUUCCUGAGACCUGAAGCUUUUCAGUCUGAGGCGCGAUGCCGUUUUGUCCAAUGACUGAAGCCUUUUAGUCUGAGGCAUGACGCCUUUUCAUUUAAUGACUGAGGUCUGAGGAUGUCCUAAAAUGUACACCGUACAUCUGUUAACAUCUUUUCAAACUGCCAAAUGCAAAAUAACAGCACUCACUGAAUUAAAUAUGCAUUGUUAUGAGGUCUUGUAAAAAAUACCAACCGGUUCUAGUCAUAGAGCCCACUCAGCAGAGUGACUGGGUGACUGUGAAGCGGCAUGGUUGCGGGACAAAACACCGCUCUUCCAUUCCAAUUAAACAGGUUCUCCCUACUCAGUGAUGCACCCACUGAGAAACUGAUUAAAGUGCCUUAGUUAUUGGCGAUUCUUUUGUACAGAACAUGAAAAUAGAGACACCAGCCACCAUAUUCCAGUGUUUACUGGGAGCCAGAGUGCCUGACAUUUUGGCAAAUGUAAAAGUGCUGGCUAAUGCUAAACGUAAAUACAGUAAGAUUGUUAUUCAUGUCAGCACUAAUGAUGUUUGAUUACACCAGUAGAUCAUCACAAAUAAUAAUAUUAAAGAGGUGUGUGAACUUGCAAAUAUGAUAUCAGACACUAUAAUAUGCUCGUCCCUGCUUACCGUGGUGACAAGAUACAUAGCAGAUUGUCAUCACUCAAUGGCUGGAUGUCUAAGUGGUGCCCGCAGAUUAACAGUUUUUGGCCUGAGACCUGACCUACUAAAAAGAGGCCUCUGGGGCCGAUUACUAGCAGCAUAUUGUGUUUUUCCACUUGACUUGCACUUCGCAUCACAAGCUUGCACAAACAUCACAAGCUUGUUUCUGGCAUAUUUUCUGAAAAACAUCUGACGUGUUUAUGUUGAGGUAUGAAAAAGCUACACUAAAUCUGAUCUGACUGGUCAGACUGAAACGGAUUUCCAGUAAUGCGAUUAUAAAUAGGAUUCCAAACCACAUAUGAAUGUAGCUCGAAACGGAUUUGCAAAAAUUUCAAACGGAUUUCAUGUAGUUCAUUGCUGUUUAGACUAGACCAUCUAAAUAUGAUCAGAUUUCAAUCAGAUUUGCACAAAAAUCAGAUUUGGGCUGACAGUCUGAACGAGGAUUAAAAACUGCUAGAUAUGCAUUUAUUCAAUACAGUGGCUCAAUUAAUGAAAAAAUAAAGCAAUAACAGGCUCAGACAUUGCCCAACAGCACAGCAGUAAGGACUUUAUGAACUUAUUUACUUCCAAGAUCGAUACUAUUAGAGAUAAUGUUCUAAUCAUGCAGCCGUCAACUACAGUAUCACAUCAGACAGUGCACUAUAGAUCCCCUGAGGAGCAUUUCCACUCAUUCUCUGCCAUAGGACAGGAUAAAUUGUAUAAACUUGUCAAAUCAUCAAAACCAACAACAUAUAUAUUAGACCCUAUUCCAUCUAAGCUGCUAAAAGAGGUGUUUUCAGAAGUCAUAGAUCUUCCUCUUCUGAUAUAGGCUAUAUUAUUUUGUCAAUGUCAAGUCAAGUCAAGUCACCUUUAUUUAUAUAGUGCUUUAAACAAAAAAGAUUGCGUCAAAGCAACUGAACAACAUUAAUUGGGAAAACAGUAUGUCAAUAAUGCAAAAUAACAGUUAAAGGCAGUUCAUCAUUGAAUUCAGUGAUGUCAUCAUGCAGCUCAGUUCAGUUUAAAUAGUAUCUGUUCAAUAAUUUGCAAUCAAGUCAAUGAUAUCGCUGUAAAUGAAGUGUCCCUAACUAAGCAAGCUAGAGGCGACAGCGGCAAGGAACCAAAACUCCAUCGGUGACAGAAUGGAGAAAAAAACCUUGGGAGAAACCAGGCUCAGUCGGGAGGCCAGUUUUCCUCUGACCAGACGAAACCAGCAGUUCAAUUCCAGGCUGCAGCAAAGUCAGAUUGUGCAGAUGAAUCAUAUUUUUCCUAUGGUCUUGUCCCGGUGGUCGUCUGAGACAAGGUCUUUACAGAGGAUUCGUCUCUGGGGCUCUAGUUGUCCUGGUCUCUGCUGUCUUUCAGGGCUGUAGAGGUCCUUUCUAGGUGCUGAUCCACCAUCUGGGCUGGAUACAUACUGGAUCCGGGUGACUGCAGUGAACCUCUGACUUGGAUACAGACUGGAUCUGGUGGCUACGGUGACCUCGGAAUAAGAGAGAAACAGACUAAUAUGAGCGUAGAUGCCAUUCUUCUAAUGAUGUAACAAGUACAUCGGGUGUUAUGGGAAGUGUUCCCGGUUCCGGUUUACCUAAUUAAUGCAGCCUAAAAAUCCUUUAACGGAUUUGUAUAUUAGAAAUGUAUUAGUAUGUUAUGUGUAAGCCAGGUUAAAGAGAUGGGUCUUUAAUCUAGAUUUAAACUGCAAGAGUGUGUCUGCCUCCCGAACAACUUUAGGUAGGUUAUUCCAGAGUUUGGGCACUAAAUAGGAGAAGGAUCUGCCGCCCGCAGUUGACUUUGAUAUUCUAGGUAUUAUCAAGUUGCCAGAGUUUUGAGAACGCAGCGGACGUGGAGGACUAUAAUGUAACAAGAGCUUGUUCAAAUACUGAG